AUUGAACGCUGGCGGCAGGCCUAACACAUGCAAGUCGAACGAGUGGCGGACGGGUGAGUAAUGUCUGGGAAACUGCCUUAUGGAGGGGGAUAACUACUGGAACCGGUAGCUAAUACCGCAUACCAUCAGAUGUGCCCAUAUGGGAUUAGCUAGUUUGUGGGGUAACGGCUCACCAAGGCGACGAUCCCUAGCUGGUCUGAGAGGAUGACCAGCCACACUGGAACUUAGACACGGUCCAGAAUCCUACGGGAGGCAGCAGUGGGGAAUAUUGCACAAUGGGCGCAAGCCUGAUGCAGCCAUACCGCGUGUAUGAAGAAGGCCUGCGGGGUGUAAAGUACUUUCGGGGGGGAGGCGUUACCCGCAGAAGAAGCACCGGCUAACUCCGUGCCAGCAGCCGCGGUAAUAC
rnacentral:rRNA from 1 species